GCAGUAGCCGCGGUAAUACGAAGGGUGCAAGCGUUAAUCGGAAUUACUGGGCGUAAAGCGUGCGUAGGCGGUUUGUUAAGUCUGUUGUGAAAUCCCCGGGCUCAACCUGGGAAUGGCAAUGGAUACUGGCAAGCUAGAGUGUGUCAGAGGAUGGUGGAAUUCCCGGUGUAGCGGUGAAAUGCGUAGAGAUCGGGAGGAACAUCAGUGGCGAAGGCGGCCAUCUGGGACAACACUGACGCUGAGGCACGAAAGCGUGGGGAGCAAACAGGAUUAGAGACCCGUGUAGUCCCUGUCUCUUAUAA
rnacentral:rRNA from 1 species